rnacentral:rRNA from 1 species
CCUACGGGUGGCAGCAGUGGGGAAUAUUGGGCAAUGGGCGCAAGCCUGACCCAGCAAUGCCGCGUGAAGGAAGAAGGCUUUCGGGUUGUAAACUUCUUUGACAGGGGAAGAGCAGAAGACGGUACCCUGAGAACAAGCCACGGCUAACUACGUGCCAGCAGCCGCGGUAAUACGUAGGUGGCAAGCGUUGUCCGGAUUUACUGGGUGUAAAGGGCGUGUAGCCGGGAAGGCAAGUCAGAUGUGAAAUCUGGAGGCUCAACCUCCAAAUUGCAUUUGAAACUGUUUUUCUUGAGUACUGGAGAGGCAGACGGAAUUCCUUGUGUAGCGGUGAAAUGCGUAGAUAUAAGGAGGAACACCAGUGGCGAAGGCGGUCUGCUGGACAGCAACUGACGGUGAGGCGCGAAAGUGUGGGUAUCAAACAGGAUUAGAUACCCUAGUAGUC